rnacentral:rRNA from 1 species
AUUGAACGCUGGCGGCAGGCCUAACACAUGCAAGUCGAGCGAGCGGCGCACGGGUGUGUAUUGUAUGGGGACUGCCCGAUAGAGGGGGAUAACUCCUGGAAAAGGUAGCUAAUACCGCAUACUAUCGGAUAACCCAUAUGGGAUGAGCUAGUAGUGGAGGUAAUGGCUCCCCUGGGCGACGAUCCCUAGCUGGUCUGAGAGGCUGAUCAGCCACACUGGAACUGAGACACGGCCCAGACUCCUACGGAGGCAGCAGUGGGGAAUAUUGCACAAUGGGCGCAAGCCUGAUGCAGCCAUGCCGCGUGUAUGAAGAAGGCCUUAGGGUUGUAAAGUACUUUCAGUCGGGAGGCGUUACCGACAGAAGAAGCACCGGCUAACUCCGUGCCAGCAGCCGCGGUAAUAC